rnacentral:rRNA from 1 species
AGGGCACCACCAGGAGUGGAGCCUGCGGCUUAAUUUGACUCAACACGGGAAAACUCACCCGGCCCGGACGCUGGAAGGAUUGACAGAUUGAGAGCUCUUUCUUGAUUCAGUGGGUGGUGGUGCAUGGCCGUUCUUAGUUGGUGGAGUGAUUUGUCUGGUUAAUUCCGAUAACGAACGAGACUCUAGCCUACUAAAUAGAUCGUCGGCUUACAAACGCCGGCGAGACUUCUUAGAGGGACAGGCGGUGAUUCAACCGCACGAAACAGAGCAAUAACAGGUCUGUGAUGCCCUUAGAUGUCCGGGGCCGCACGCGCGCUACACUGAAGUGAUCAGCGUGCUUUUUCAACCUACUCUGUCAAGAGUGGGGAACCCAAUGAACCUUCUUCGUGAUUGGGAUAGGGGAUUGUAAUUAUUCCCCUUGAACGAGGAAUUCCCAGUAAGCGCGAGUCAUAAGCUCGCGUUGAUUACGUCCCUGCCCUUUGUACACACCGCCCGUCGCUACUACCGAUUGAAUGUUUU